rnacentral:rRNA from 1 species
GACGAACGCUGGCGGCGUGCUUAACACAUGCAAGUCGAACGGUGAAGCUCCAGCUUGCUGGAGUGGAUCAGUGGCGAACGGGUGAGUAACACGUGAGCAACCUGCCCCUGACUCUGGAAUAAGCGCUGGAAACGGCGUCUAAUACUGGAUACGAGAAGGGUCCGCAUGGGCACUUUCUGGAAAGUUCUUCGGUUGGGGAUGGGCUCGCGGCCUAUCAGCUUGUUGGUGGGGUAAUGGCUCACCAAGGCGACGACGGGUAGCCGGCCUGAGAGGGCGACCGGCCACACUGGGACUGAGACACGGCCCAGACUCCUACGGGAGGCAGCAGUGGGGAAUAUUGCACAAUGGGCGAAAGCCUGAUGCAGCGACGCCGCGUGAGGGAUGACGGCCUUCGGGUUGUAAACCUCUUUCAGCAGGGAAGAAGCGAAAGUGACGGUACCUGCAGAAGAAGCACCGGCUAACUACGUG